UGACUCACUAGUGACAUUUUUACUGCGAUCAUUGUCUAAAGGCUAUCAACAAUGAUAACAAAUACCGUUCAAUAACAUAUAAACAUUGGCAUUGCAAAAUGGAAAUCAAACUCAGAGAGAAAACCGGACGAUUUCAUCUAUGCUUAAAACAACAAACGAGAAAACACAGAUUGAAUAUAACAACCAACGAUAAAACAAAGAUUGUAAAUAACAACUAACUAGAAAACAAAGAUUGAAGAUAACAAACAAAGGAAAAACAAAGAUUGUAGAUAACAAACAACGACAGCCUCUGAAUAACGGCCUUAAAAGAAUGUGGCGGUGUAAUAUUUAAAUGCGC
rnacentral:lncRNA from 1 species